GUACAAUCCAAAGACAUAUCUCAAUCUCAAACACAUCAUAUUAUGCAAACUAUAUAAUGAUCAACUAUAUUACGCAAAUUAUAGCACAAAUGUACAAUCUAAACACACAUCUCAAUCUCAAGCAUGUCAUUUCACAAUACCCAUUUAGCAAAAAGUAUAUCACAAUACCCAUCUAACAAAUCUAACAAAAAAAAUUAAAAAGA
rnacentral:misc_RNA from 1 species